rnacentral:rRNA from 1 species
UACGGAGGGUGCAAGCGUUGUUCGGAAUUACUGGGCGUAAAGGGCGCGUAGGCGGCCUUCUAAGUCGAACGUGAAAUCCCCGGGCUCAACCCGGGAACUGCGUCCGAUACUGGAAGGCUUGAAUCCGGGAGAGGGAUGCGGAAUUCCAGGUGUAGCGGUGAAAUGCGUAGAUAUCUGGAGGAACACCGGUGGCGAAGGCGGCAUCCUGGACCGGCAUUGACGCUGAGGCGCGAAAGCGUGGGUAGCAAACAGG